rnacentral:snRNA from 1 species
AUCGCUUCUCGGCCUUUUGGCUCAGAUCAAGUGUAGUAUCUGUUCUUAUCAGUUUAAUAUCUGAUACGCCCCCCAUCGGGGGACUACAUAUUAAAUGGAUUUUUCGAACAGGGAGUCGGAAAUGGGGCUUGCUCCGUCCGCUCCACGCAUCGACCCGGUAUUGCAGUACCUCCGGGAAUGGUGCAACACUU